UUUCAAGAAGCUUUCUUUGUUUUGAACC
rnacentral:piRNA from 1 species